ACGGCUCAGUAACACGUGGACAACCCACCCUCAGAUCUGGGAUAAACCUGGGAAACUGGGUAUAAUACCGGAUAGGUCUUGGAUGCUGGAAUGCACCGAGGCCCAAAGCUCCGGCGUCUGAGGAUGGGUCUGCGGCCUAUCAGGGUAGUAGUGGGUGUAAAGUACCUACUAGCCUACGACGGGUACGGGUCGUGAGAGCGAGAGCCCGGAGAUGGAUUCUGAGACACGAAUCCAGGCCCUACGGGGUGCAGCAGGCGCGAAAACUUUACAAUGCCGGCAACGGCGAUAAGGGGACCUCGAGUGCCAGGAUACAAUCCUGGCUGUCGUAAUGCCUAAAAAGCAUUAUAUAGCAAGGGCCGGGCAAGACCGGUGCCAGCCGCCGCGGUAACACCGGCGGCUCGAGUGGUAACCGCUAUUAUUGGGUCUAAAGGGUCUGUAGCCGGCCUGGUAAGUCUUUUGGGAAAUCCGGCAGCUCAACUGUCGGGCUAUCAGAGGAUACUGCUAGGCUCGAGACCGGGAGAGGUGAGAGGUACUUCAUGGGUAGGGGUGAAAUCUUGUAAUCCUUGAAGGACCACCAGUGGCGAAGGCGUCUCACCAGAACGGAUCUGACGGCAAGGGACGAAAGCUAGGGGCACGAACCGGAUUAGAUACCCGGGUAGUCCUAGCCGUAAACGAUACUCGCUAGGUGUCGGCCACGGUGCGACCGUGGUCGGUGCCGUAGGGAAGCCGUGAAGCGAGCCGCCUGGGAAGUACGGCCGCAAGGCUGAAACUUAAAGGAAUUGGCGGGGGAGCAC
rnacentral:rRNA from 1 species